CUCUGAUUGAAUCUUUAAUGUAUUAUUGAAUAACUAUGCAAGAUGUUUGGCGCUUCUUAAACUGUGCGUUCCACCAUCGCUUAGUAUACUCUAUGGAUACCAAUCCUGGAUUUGGACCAACUUUUCCAUUCGCUCCAACCAUAUUUUCCAACCAUCUGUUCCACCCGACGAAGCCGGACUGCACCAGUGAAGGACCUUGAACUGUGAAAGAAACAUGUCCCGGGCAUCAACUCGAAAUUCAUCAUAAACAAGACGCUUUACGGAGCGUUAACUCGCUGGGGC